rnacentral:lncRNA from 1 species
UCACAUACAAAGAAUAAUCAGCUUCACUUCUUAUAAACCCUUCAUUCACGAAGAAUAUAUCAAUGCAUACAUACCUUUAAUUGUUGUUUUACUUAUUCUACAAAUUCCUUUCAGAAUAAACCUUUAUAGGGGAAUUUGAACACAAGGAAAGACUAAGGGCAUGAGCUUCACUUGUUAGGGUCACACGAUUAACUGUAUUCCGAACCACUAAAACACUAAAUAAUACUACAAUGCUUCCUUCCAAUAACAAUACUCCUUCAUCAACUGAUAACAACAGUGUGCAACCUUGCUUUCUUAAAAGACUGCUCAAAACUCAUAAAUUCCAUCCAACACCAGGAAUAACAGACUUCACUCCAACUAAUCUAGAUUCAUAGAAUUUUUGUAAUCACAUACUUCAUUUCUCAGUAUUCAAAAACUAUCCAUUACUCUUCAACAACAAAGAAAAUAAAGAAAACAAAGAAGUAGCACCAAGCUUAACCCCGGCUCAUGACUAUCACAGUCUACCUCCAACAAACUUCUAUAACUCCUAUAUAAUUGCUACUGAUUUCCAGAUCCUAACCGUAAUCUUAUAAUAACCACUUUGAAUAACUAAAUCAAC